rnacentral:lncRNA from 1 species
UUGGAAUAGAAAGAGACGUUGAUAAGAUGUGAAACUAUUGAUUUGGAAUAAAAUACUAAGUUAUUUAUUUUGUAUAUUAGAAGCAAUUUACUCGGGAAUCAAGCUGAGUAUCAAACCCGGAAUCAAGAAUUGUAUUUCAGAGGAGAUCAGGCAAGUUCACUUAAUCCUUCCUUUGAUGUGCUCAUGAUGUGCAAAUAUUUGUCGAACGUGAUUUCAUUUGAUAUUUAUAUCUGUGUUUGAAUCCCGAUAUUUUGACAUGUAUUGGAAUAUACGAGAAGAUCGGGGAUAGACGGAUACUAGAAGAUUUGACAUUCGUUCAGAAUAUUAUUCAAACAAUUUUCUACAUUACUGAGUCCACCUAUUGUUCAGGAUGACUCAUUAUUUUGUAAAAUCAAAAAUAUCAUCAAUUUCCAAAUCUUUAACGUAUCACUCCCUUUUGAGAUGAUUACCCUAUUUUGUAAUCUUUAUUUCGUUACAGAAGUUCAUAUUCGAUAUUUAAUUCUAACCUUGCUCAUAUUCGAAAAGUCUUGUUCAUAUCUUUGAGUUAUUAUAUCAAUGCAAGAAUGACUCAGUAGAAUUUCUAAGCCUUGAUCAUUCGCUAAUAUCGAAAUUUUAAUUGUCGAGACCCUGAACUUUGAUUCGUCUUUCUUACGAAGUUGUAUGAUUCUAAUGUUUUCUUCAGAUAAUUGAUUAUUCUUUCUAUACACUCUAAAGGGGAUAAUUUGCUUGAUUAUUGAGUUCCCCUCCUAGUUUCUUAUUCUUGUUCAAUCUGUUAAACUUCUAUUCUUUUAUUCGUACUGUGAUUAAUUGAUUUUAUACAAGGAUCAUUAACCAUGUUCGGUUCUAUGUUAUUGUUCUUGGGAUGUUGUGAUCGGAUUACCGUUUCUCCGUAAUCCGGCCGAGAGGUAUUUAAUUCUGAAUUUUGAGGAUGCAUUUGUUCGCAUUCUUGUAAGAAAGGGGAAGUUUUAUUCAAUGUGAAGUGAGCCAAUUUGUACUCGGGGAAUGAAUUUCAUAAACUGGUCAACACGAAUGAUUUGCAUUCGUGGAAGAGUGGAAAUAUCUGUUGGCCCUAUGUGUGGGACAACUUUAAGGGUUGAAAAUGAUAACCCUUAUGCUAGCAAAUAAAUGGGGGAAACUGUGUGGCGCCAUUCGAAAGUCGCGAUCAGACUGCGAAGGUGACACGGGGUGGUAUCUACUUAGUGGCGGUGAUCGAGCCAUAUGGUGGAACCAUCAAGGAUGGAGACCAGUAUUAUUAUUAUUCUUUGAUUUCUUGAGUUCAAUAUGUGAUUAUCUACAACUCUCAUUUUGAAUUUGCUUAAUUGUUAUAUCUGCUUAAAUUCCCUUAUAUAAUCUGUGAUGUUUGCACUUGAACUGUGAACUUGCUGAGCAUUCAAAUGCUCAUACUUGCAACUCUUUAUUUCCUUUAAACAGUAUAGACAGAGAAUGGCACAAAUGAGAAGGAUAAUCCGGAAGCAUAUAACAGCAAAGUCAAAGGCAAAACGUGAGGCUGUGGCAAACGAAGGGUGCGAAGACUUGUUCCCGUAACGAGGAUGUUUGUGAUAAUUAUAGAAGUACUAGUUUGUACUCUUGAACUUAUCUUUUUAAUGAUAUGAUGGACUGUGUGGAAGUGUAAGAUCGACCCUGGACUUGUGGGGCGAGUUAUGUAACGUAAGACAGGUAUGCUAAAAUAGUGUGACGGCCUAGAUCCGGGAUAUACGGAUCUGGGGGCGUUACAGAUUUGGUAUCAGAGCUAUAGUUAUAUUCUUAGGACACGGGAACCCUAGGAAUACAACGAGAGAGUAAG